UCCAGUUUCACGCCUACAACUAGGGGGUCACAUACGAGUACCAGAUUCGUUUGGUUGCUCAUAUUUUUUUUUGCCCUCGGGAAGGUCUGAGACCAGGGUCGUUAAAUGCUCUAGCUGGGCAUCCCUGUAAACAGGGAGUGAGGUAAAAGAAAAAGGCGGUGCCGAUCUUCUUGUUCAUUCUCAUGCCGGGGACGCGAUUUUGUCUCAAAAGAGGGAAAAGAGCUGAGGUGAUAGAUUGAAUAGGAAUUGGGAAAACCUUAUGGCUGGCGAUUACAGUUCAAUUUGUAGGGUGGGGCUAUAUUAGUUCCAUAACUCAAUUCAGACUACGUCGAGACUGGA
rnacentral:RNase_P_RNA from 1 species